GAUGAACGCUGGCGGCGUGCCUAAUACAUGCAAGUCGAGCGAACGGACGAGAAGCUUGCUUCUCUGAUGUUAGCGGCGGACGGGUGAGUAACACGUGGAUAACCUACCUAUAAGACUGGGAUAACUUCGGGAAACCGGAUCUAAUACCGGAUAAUAUUUUGAACCGCAUGGUUCAAAAGUGAAAGACGGUCUUGCUGUCACUUAUAGAUGGAUCCGCGCUGCAUUAGCUAGUUGGUAAGGUAACGGCUUACCAAGGCAACGAUGCAUAGCCGACCUGAGAGGGUGAUCGGACACACUGUAACUGAGACACGGUACAGAAUCCUACGGUAGGCAGCAGUAGGGAAUCUUAAGCAAUGGGCGAAAGCAGGACGGUGCAACGCCGCGUGAGUGAUGAAGGUCUUCGGAUCGUAAAACUCUGUUAUUAGGGAAGAAGAUAUGUGUAAGUAACUGUGCACAUCUUGACGGUGCCUAAUCAGAAAGCCACGGCUAGCUACGUG
rnacentral:rRNA from 1 species